rnacentral:rRNA from 1 species
GAUGAACGCUAGCGGCAGGCUUAACACAUGCAAGUCGAGGGGUAGAAAUAGCUUGCUAUUUUGAGACCGGCGCACGGGUGCGUAACGCGUAUGCAAUCUGCCUUGUACUGGGGAAUAGCCCGGAGAAAUCCGGAUUAAUGCCCCAUGGUCUUUUUGUGUGGCAUCACACGAUUAUUAAAGAUUUAUCGGUACAAGAUGAGCAUGCGUCCCAUUAUUUAGUUGGUGUGGUAACGGCACACCAAGACGAUGAUGGGUAGUGGUCCUGAGAGGGAGAUCCCCCACACUGGUACUGAGACACGGACCAGACUCCUACGGGAGGCAGCAGUGAGGAAUAUUGGUCAAUGGGCGCAAGCCUGAACCAGCCAUGCCGCGUGCAGGAUGACGGCCCUAUGGGUUGUAAACUGCUUUUAUACGGGAAGAAACACCUCUUCGUGAAGAGGCUUGACGGUACCGUAAGAAUAAGGAUCGGCUAACUCCGUGCCAGCCGCCGCAGUAAUAC